GCGAAACUCAACCCAAAACUUAACAACGCAGCACUUCCUUUCUUUCUUUGAUACCGGAAUUUUGCCGACAACUAGGUGAGAAAAUCUAGCACUUUGGAGGCCUAAUUUUUUGGAGAAUUUCGACACGACCCUCACCACUCCAAUAAGAGCGAAGAACUGGACAUUCUUUUGGGGUAGUCCGUGAGCUACAGAUUCGGCAACGUUGUGCACGUCUCCGAUAAGAUUAUCUAUAUAUAUUUGUGCUUUUCAUUAUAAAGGUGAAAGACUCAAUUUAUUUUGGGUUUGUUGGUGGAUAGGAUUGCAAUUUGAAAAUUCUGAAGUUUGGUGUUUUGGAGAAUAAAAUUAGUCUUAAAUGACAAUUAUCUGUUUUCACCAAAAAUAACCAUACAUCUGUUUUGCCUAAAUGAAGUUAUCUGUUGCGUUUCUAUGUUGUGCUUUCGUUGGCUGCCAUACAAUACGAAAAUAAAAAUUCCAUUUCAAGUAAUAUUACAACUAAUUUCAUAUAGAUCUAUUGCCAUAAACAUAUAAGGGGUCUACAUCUGUGAAGUUGCAAUUUUUUUUUUCCAUAAACUUACUAGUCACUAGACACAGGUUCUUUAUCACUCGAUUUCUCCCAACUGUGAAGUUGCAAAUUUUUUUGGAUUUUUUAUUUUUUGUUAUUUGCAGUAAGUUAAAGUAUGGAUGACAUUGAAAAUGACCACAAUGAUGUUUUCGAGCCAUCAGAGAAUGAGAAUGUGAAGGAUUUUGUGAAUGAAGUUGGUGGUGAAACAUCAAUGAGAGACGGUGUAAUUGUACCGGAGGUGGGAAUGUUGUUGAAAUGAACAUGAGAUGUAUGAUUUCUACAAAAAAAUAUGCGUACAUAGUGGGUUUUCCAGUUAAGAAAAGGAAUUCAAAAAAGGGGGACGAUGGAGUUUUAAGAUAUUUGACGUUGACAUGUAGCCGUGAAGGCGAAAGCAUCGGUAAUAGUAGCUGCUCUUUGAAGCCUCACCCAACAGUUAAGAUGGGUUGUAAGGCCAGAAUAUCUGCAUCGGUCGAUGUUCUAGGAAAUUGGAGAAUUAAUGUAGUAAACCUCGAACACAAUCAUGAGACAAGUCCUUAUAAAUCCAGAUUAUAUUGAUGCAAUAGACAAUUGAGUGCAGCUAUGAAACGAAAGCUUGAGGUGAAUGAUUUGACAGAAAUUGCACUGCAUAAAAGCUACAACUCCGCAGUUGUAGAAGCGGGUGGAUAUGAGAACAUGACUUGUAUUGAAAAGGAUUGUAGGAACUAUGUAGAACGCGUGAGGCGAUUACGUCUUGGAGAAGGAGAUGCUACAGCAAUUCAAUCGUAUUUUUCAAAAAAUGCAAGCACAGUGCUCGGGAUUUUAUUUUGAUAUUGAUUUGGAUAAAGAGUCACGUUGAGAAAUGUGUUAUGGGUAGAUAAUCGGAGUAGGCAGGCGUACAAGGAGCUCGGGGAUGUUGUUUCAUUUGAUACCACUUAUCCGACUAAUAAGUAUGAUAUGUCGUUCGCUCCUUUUGUUGGCGUAAAUCAUCACAGACAAACGACACUAAUUUAAAUCUUCAUUUAUGUCACAAAUUGAUUAAAUAUUUUCAUGUAAAAUACAGCUAAUAUUGGAUGUAGCUACGAUAUUGCAAUGUUAUCAUUAGAUUCACAGUCAAUUACCUGCCAUUAUCAUUGGAAUUGAGACAUUGAGUGAUUGUUUUAAUGUUAUUUAGUUCCUAAAUACUUACUGGGGCCUUUGUCUUACGUUACCAGAUACAUUGCAGGCACGUUGGGCUAACCACGAAGAGUUCGGCACAUUGCGGGCUGCACAUUCACCAGAGCUGGCAAUUGAUUGUUCUCAUGACUUUGCAUUGUCUCAUUUCCAAAUUGUAAAGGAUUGGUUUUGGGAUUGUACCCUUAUUAUGACUGGAGGGAUAAUUCAUUUUGGAUGUUAGCCAUUAAAUGUGUUUUGUCAAGAAACUUAGGCAGGUUGCGUUUCUAUUGCUAAGCCAAUUAAUCUGGUCAUCAAAUCCUUUUUCUUAAUUUCACUUACCCGAAUAGGCUUCUUGAAUUUG
rnacentral:lncRNA from 1 species